CCUACGGGUGGCAGCAGUGAGGAAUAUUGGUCAAUGGGCGGGAGCCUGAACCAGCCAAGUCGCGUGAGGGAAGACGGUCCUAUGGAUUGUAAACCUCUUUUGGCGGGGAGCAAUGCCGGGCACGCGUGCCCGGAGGUAGAUUACCCGCAAAAUAAGCAUCGGCAAACUCCGUGCCAGCAGCCGCGGUAAUACGGAGGAUGCGGGGUUUAUCCGGAUUUAUUGGGUUUAAAGGGUGCGUAGGCGGAUUUUUAAGUCAGCGGGAAAAUGUCCGGGUUAAACCCGGGAUGGCCGUUGAAACUGGUGAGCUUGAGUGGGCGAGAAGUAUGCGGAAUGCGUGGUGUAGCGGUGAAAUGCAUAGAUAUCACGCAGAACUCCGAUUGCGAAGGCAGCAUACCGGCGCCCGACUGACGCUGAGGCACGAAAGCGUGGGGAUCGAACAGGAUUAGAUACCCUUGUAGUC
rnacentral:rRNA from 1 species